AGUCGAGGGGUAUUUAUCUUCGGAUAGAGAGACCGGCGCACGGGUGCGUAACGCGUAUGCAAUCUACCUUUUACAGAGGGAUAGCCCAGAGAAAUUUGGAUUAAUACCUCAUAGUAUGUGAGAAUGGCAUCAUUUUCACAUUAAAGUCACAACGGUAAAAGAUGAGCAUGCGUCCCAUUAGCUAGUUGGUAAGGUAACGGCUUACCAAGGCUACGAUGGGUAGGGGUCCUGAGAGGGAGAUCCCCCACACUGGUACUGAGACACGGACCAGACUCCUACGGGAGGCAGCAGUGAGGAAUAUUGGACAAUGGGCGCAAGCCUGAUCCAGCCAUGCCGCGUGCAGGAUGACGGUCCUAUGGAUUGUAAACUGCUUUUGCACAGGAAGAAACAACGCUACGUGUAGCGUCUUGACGGUACUGUGAGAAUAAGGAUCGGCUAACUCCGUGCCAGCAGCCGCGGUAAUACGGAGGAUCCAAGCGUUAUCCGGAAUCAUUGGGUUUAAAGGGUCCGUAGGCGGUUUAGUAAGUCAGUGGUGAAAGCCCAUCGCUCAACGGUGGAACGGCCAUUGAUACUGCUAGACUUGAAUUAUUAGGAAGUAACUAGAAUAUGUAGUGUAGCGGUGAAAUGCUUAGAGAUUACAUGGAAUACCAAUUGCGAAGGCAGGUUACUACUAAUGGAUUGACGCUGAUGGACGAAAGCGUGGGUAGCGAACAGGAUUAGAUACCCUGGUAGUCCACGCCGUANACGAUGGAUACUAGCUGUUGGGAGCGAUCUCAGUGGCUAAGCGAAAGUGAUAAGUAUCCCAC
rnacentral:rRNA from 1 species